rnacentral:rRNA from 1 species
UAUGUGAUCGUCUCUCGCAUAUCAAUAAGCGGAGGAAAAGAAACUAACAAGGAUUCCCCUAGUAACGGCGAGUGAAGCGGGAAGAGCUCAAAUUUGAAAUCUUAAAGGGUUUCCCUUUACGAAUUGUAGUUUAAAGAAGUGUUUUCUGUUGAGGUUUUGGUAAAAGUUCUUUGGAAUAGGACAUCAUAGAGGGUGAGAAUCCCGUAUUUGACCUUUACUUUCAACUUUGUGAUACACUUUCAAAGAGUCGGAUUGUUUGGGAAUGCAGUCCAAAAUGGGUGGUAAAUUUCAUCUAAAGCUAAAUAUUGGCGAGAGACCGAUAGUGAACAAGUACCGUGAGGGAAAGAUGAAAAGAACUUUGAAAAGAGAGUUAAACAGUACGUGAAAUUGUCAAAAGGGAAGCGUUUGACACCAGUGUUGUUUUUCUGAAAAUCAAUUAAAGAACUGUUUAUGCUAAGCUGUUUAGACUUUAUCAGCUAUCUGUUUAGUUUUGAGCUUUUCUUUAAUGCACUUUUCAGUUAACAAGUCAACAUCAAUUUCUUUUGCUGUAAAAAAGCUUGAGGAAGGUGGCUUGAGAUUCGUCUUAAGUGUUUAUAGCCUCUUGCCUAUGCAGUCGGAGAGAUUGAGGUCUGCAGCGUAGAUCCUUCGGGGCUAAAUGCAUUUGUGCUAAGUUAUAGCAUUUUAUAGACAACUUGUUGACUAUGAUUUGUCUUGUAGCUUACUCGCUUAUGUUAUUUUACCUACGCUUAGGAUGUUGAGCGCAUGUCUCUCUCU